GGAAAACGCCAAUCGAAACCCAUCGGGGAUACAGACACGUUCACAGACAAAAUGACCCCCAUAGUCGCAUCACUACAGGCUUCACAAUAAUCCUAGUUGAAAUACGAAGACAAUGAUCUUGGAACCACGUGAUAUCCAUGUCUUGCCAAGUGUCAUCUGAUUUGCUUCUUUUAUGAUACUGUAGUCUAUAUACAUAUGUUUGGCAUCUCUUUAAGUUACCAUAUGCUUUACUUUGACAUUUUGCUAUACUAUAUAUUGCCCAU